CUCCUAGAUCUGCUGCCGGAUUUUAAAGGGCAUGCCGAGUCUCAGGUAAAGGAGGCUGGCUGACACAAAUGUGAAGAGGAUGUUCCUUUCGCUGCCCUCUGGGUUAAGGUGGUCUCAGGCAUGCCUGUGCUUAUUGUGCCAACCUAUUCCCUGAGACUCAACAACAUUGAAAUUAGGCCAACUAAUAACCCUACAAUGGCCUCUAAGUGUUCGCAUGAAAGAAAGAAUCAACAUAUGUGGCAAACUUCUUCAUUGUUUUAUUUUAAGAAAUUGCCACAGCCACCCCAACCUUCAGCAACUACCACCCUAAUAAGUCAACAGACAUAAACAUAGAGGUAUCUUCUUGGCCAUGAGAUCCACUGACCUGACAGCUUUGUCCCAGUUUGUGUGAUGUCAAGGAGGCCUGGGUUCUGCAUUUAACAGCAGGACACUCCCAUCUUAAUUUCUG